UAUUUCUUUCGAAAAAAAAAAUUGCUCUCAGAAGUCUGAACCUCUAUUUCACUCUCUCCUUCCUCCCUUCUUCUCUACUUUUCGUUUUUAGGUCACUUCUUCAAUUUUACUCACAUUACUCAGAAAAUUCACCGAAAUACCACCGAGGACCACCUGUCUGUCGCGUCUCUCUCCACCGAGGACCCACAAUUCCGGUGGGUGGCUACACGUCGUCUGCCGCUCUCCUCUGUGCGUCGUAUUAGGAUUUCGUGCUUCCCCUUUUUGUUCUUCAGUUCACAGGAGGCUUCGGUGUGGAAACUAUGAGAGAAUUCGUUCACUUGAGAGACAAGGCAAGAACAUGUUAUGUAUUCAGAACCGGCAACAGAAUCACCAAUAAUCUGUACAGCUGCUAAACCAAAUAGCAGUAACAGAACCACCACUGCAUGGCAACCGCUAUCAGUCCGGGGCAGACCUGAGUGAGACUGCAGUAAUCAACUUCGCCAAAUAAAGUUGACCUGGUUUGACCAGGAACCAACCCAGAGUUCUAAUUGAAACCCCAAUCCAACAGAACCAGCAAUGUCCAAUGUGUGAACUGAGGCAACAUUGUAACAAGCGUAACAGAAACAAGCAGCCUGUAAACCCACCACCAUGCCUGCAUCCUCUAACAAAAACCCAAGACUAGCCAUGCAAAAAAUGGCUCAUCCACGGGGUUAAAAUGCUGUUAAAUAUGUAGAGUGUGACACGUACAUCAUUCAAUGAUGAGGAGAAGAAGUAGACAAAGGUCUUGAAGAUAUCUUGCAAUUUGAACAAUGUAGCCUAUAAGCUGAAGUUGAAAGAAUAUAAACAAGCAGGGAAACUUUGCACCAAAGUGUUGGAAAUGGAUGUCAUGAAUGUCAAAGCGCUCUAUAGAAGGGCACAAGCGUAUAUGAACUCAACAGAUCUUGACUUAGUAGAGUUUAACAUUAAGAAGACACUGGAAAUUGACCCUGACAACAGGUAUUCAACAAUCCGAGGGAGCAACCUUUUACCAUUGAGUAGAUAAAUGAAGUUCGAAAAAAGUUGGAAAAGUUCAUUACCAUUUAUUGUCUUUGAUAUUUUCUUGUAGUGAAUCUUAGAUUAUGGAUGCUAGUUUUUCAUAGGAUUGUAAUGUAAUCAAUUUUUAUAUUUAUCAUUAUAUACUAUUCAAUUUAUUUAUCUAUAUAAUUGGAUACUUUUUUAUGUGA